UAGGCUGAAGUCCGCGGAUGGGUGUUUGGUUGUUAACUAAANUUUUUCGGGAUCGAGGCCCGACAGUCUAG
rnacentral:tRNA from 1 species